rnacentral:rRNA from 1 species
UAAUAGUUUAAAAUUUUGACCUCCCGAAAUCAUGUGAGCUAUUUAUACUUAAAACUGAGUGUAGCAUAACUUUGAGUCGAAAGAUUAAAUAGGGGUGAAAUACCUUCAUACUUGAGGAUAUCUGGAUAAGAUUUAAAUGUAUAAAGUACAUAAAUCAGAUUAAUGAUGAUUAGGUUAUUAAUGAAAUAAAAACUAGUUAAUAAUUGGUCCCGUUAAAUUUAUAUUUAAAUAGUUAAUAAAGAUACAAUUCCUCUCUAUAUAUUUUAUGAUCUUAAAUCUUGUUGAUAUUUAAAUAAAAAAAUAUAUUCAUAAUGUUUAAAUAAGUAAAUAUUUUAAUAUUUUAAAAGGAACUCGGCAAAUGGAUUUCUUCAACUGUUUAACAAAAACAUAACCUAAAGUACUAUAAUAUAGGUGACUCCUGCCCACUGUAAUAAUUAAAGGCCGCAGUACUUUGACUGUGCAAAGGUAGCAUAAUCAAUUGGCUUGUAAUUUAAGUCUAGCAUGAACGGAGUUAUGGGGAAACACUGUCUCUAAAAAUUCAUAUUUAAAUUACUAAAGAGAUGCAAAUAUCUCUAAAUUUUAAAUAAGACGAGAAGACCCUAAGAAUUAUAAUUAUUUUUUCUCAAAAAAUUUUUGUUGGGGCAACAAAUAAAGAAUUUCUUAAAAUUUAGGGAUUCAUAACAUGAGAAUUUUUAUUAGGAUGAAUUUAAUUACCUUAGGGAUAACAGCAAAAUUAAUUAAUUAGUUUUUGACCUCGAUGUUGGAUUAAGGUUCUUUUUGGUUAGCCACUUAAAAUAAAGGUUCUGUUCGAACUAUACUCCUUA